CCCGGGAAAGUUGUUUUUAAUUUUUAUUUUUUUAAGAUUAAUUCAAUUAUGAUAUAACUAACUUUAGUUAAGUAUUUUUUAAUUAUUAUAAAACUAAUCUCAGUUAAAGUUAACAGUUUUAGCUAAAUAUGGCUACAAAGUAAAAUUUUAAAAGUUUGAGACUAGCAAUAAUUCAUAUAAAAAGUGGCUACCAAUGAAAAUAAGCAAAAGUACGAACCUACCAAUGAGAAUUUCCCUAAAAAAAAAAAAAAAAACGUUCUCUCUCUUAUUAACCAGUAAAAAUUGUAUGAACCCUAAUUUUUUCCUUCGUAAUCGCGCUACUCUAAUUCUCAAAAAUUGCUACUCUAGUUCUUCGCUCCUACUAGACGUUCAGAUUUUACACAUUGUUUCUUCAAAUCAUUGCUCGAAGUCGUUCGAAUCGCAAGUAUAAGAUUUCUGUUGAAGUGAAUAGGAAGGGUUAUCAGUUUAGAUUUGAGAAAUGGCGUCAAUAGACCCAGAGAUAGCAAAAACUCAGGAGGAGAGGAAGAAGAUGGAGCAGGAACUAGCCUCACUUUCAUCUCUUACCUAUGAUACUGAUCUUUAUGGGAGUAGUGGGAGGGAGGAUUAUGUCCAGUCAAUCCCUGUUGAUGACGAUGAAGAUAAUGCCGAUGCUAUGGAUAAUGAGGUGGCUCGGAAAUUGGCUUCUUACACGGCUCCGAAGUCUCUUUUAAAGGAAAUGCCUGGUGCUGGGGCUGACUAUGAUGAUGGGUUGAGGAAGCCACAAAGGAUUAUUGAUCGUGAGGAUGAUUAUCGGAGGAGGAGGCUUGAUCGGGUUAUUUCUCCUGCGAGGCAUGAUGCUUUUGCAAUGGGGGAUAAGACCCCGGAUGUUGGUGUCAGGACUUAUGCUGAUGUGAUGAGGGAGGAGGCGCUGAGGAGAGAUAAGGAGGAGACGUUGCGAUUGAUUGCUAAAAAGAAGAAAGAAGAGGAGGAGCAGAAGAAGAGUUUGGAAGAGGAGAAAGGAGCUGGUGGUGGUGUUGCUGCUCAAGCUCAGCCUUCUCAGAAGAGGAGAAAUAGGUGGGAUCAAUCUCAGGAUCAGCAAGGGGAUGAGGGUGUAGCAAAGAAAGCGAAGUCUUCCUCUGACUGGGAUUUAGCCGAUUCUACCCCUGGAAUUGGAAGGUGGGAUGCCACUCCUACACCAGGGAGACUUGGCGAUGCUACACCAUCUGCUCGGAAGAAUAGGUGGGAUGAGACACCAACUCCUGGCCGUGCACAAGAUUCUGAUUCUACUCCGUCUGCUGGUGGGCUCACUCCUGGUGCCACUCCUGCUGGAUCGACUUGGGAUGCCACUCCAAAAAUCACUGGUAUGGCAACACCAACACCAAAACGUCAGAGAUCAAGGUGGGAUGAGACUCCAGCUACCAUGGGGAGUGCAACACCCAUGGCUGGGGCAACUCCUGCGGCUAUGACCCCUGGUGUGACACCUGUUGGUGGAGUUGAUAUGGCUACACCUACUCCUGGGCAGAUUAAUCUGCGUGGCCCUGUAACUCCAGAACAGUAUAACUUGAUGAAGUGGGAGAAGGAUAUUGAAGAGAGGAACAGACCCUUGACUGAUGAAGAGCUUGAUUCCAUGUUCCCACCUGAAGGAUAUAAGAUCUUGGAUCCUCCUGCUUCAUAUGUGCCAAUUAGGACUCCAGCAAGGAAGCUUCUUGCCACACCCACUCCAAUGGGGACUCCACUUUAUCAAAUACCAGUUGAAGACAGGAAUCAGCAAUUUGAUGUUGGAAAGGAGCCUGCUAAUGGGUUGCCAUUUAUGAAACCUGAGGAUUAUCAAUAUUUUCAGGCGUUGUUGAAUGAUGAAAACGAGGAAGAGCUGUCACCCGAGGAGCAGAAGGAAAGAAAGAUUAUGAAGUUGCUACUUAAAGUGAAAAAUGGUACUCCUCCUCAGAGGAAGACUGCAUUGCGACAACUCACUGACAAAGCAAGAGAAUUUGGUGCUGGUCCGUUGUUUAACCAAAUUUUGCCUCUGCUUAUGCAGCCGACAUUGGAAGACCAAGAACGACAUCUUCUUGUGAAAGUUAUUGACAGGGUGCUGUACAAGCUUGAUGAGUUGGUUCGACCUUUUGUGCACAAAAUUCUUGUGGUUAUUGAGCCACUCUUAAUUGAUGAAGACUACUACGCUCGUGUUGAGGGGAGGGAGAUUAUUUCAAACUUGAGCAAGGCUGCUGGAUUGGCUACUAUGAUUGCUGCCAUGAGACCGGAUAUUGAUAAUAUUGAUGAGUAUGUCAGGAAUACAACCGCAAGGGCUUUUAGUGUUGUUGCUUCAGCUCUAGGUAUACCUGCCCUGUUGCCAUUUUUAAAGGCAGUUUGUCAAAGUAAGAAGUCAUGGCAAGCUAGGCAUACAGGUAUUAAGAUUGUCCAACAGAUAGCCAUUUUGAUUGGUUGUGCUGUUCUGCCGCACUUAAGAUCUUUGGUGGAGAUCAUAGAACAUGGUCUUAAUGAUGAGAACCAGAAGGUCAGAACAAUUACUGCGCUUUCUCUGGCAGCUCUAGCUGAGGCUUCAGCCCCGUAUGGUAUUGAGAGUUUUGACUCUGUAUUGAAACCUUUGUGGAAAGGUAUCAGAUCACACCGUGGAAAGGUCUUGGCUGCAUUCCUGAAGGCCAUCGGUUUUAUCAUUCCGUUGAUGGAUGCUCUUUAUGCUAGCUACUAUACAAAAGAAGUUAUGUUUAUUCUUAUUCGAGAGUUCCAGUCACCAGAUGAAGAAAUGAAGAAGAUUGUUCUGAAAGUGGUUAAGCAGUGUGUUAGCACUGAGGGUGUAGAGGCUGACUACAUUAGAAGUGAUAUCCUUCCUGAAUUCUUUAAGAACUUUUGGGUUAGGAGAAUGGCUCUUGACCGAAGAAAUUACAAGCAGCUUGUGGAAACUACUGUAGAGAUAGCCAACAAGGUUGGCGUUGCUGAUAUAGUUGGUAGGAUAGUGGAGGAUCUUAAAGAUGAGAGUGAACCCUAUAGGCGUAUGGUCAUGGAGACAAUAGAGAAAGUUGUGACAAACUUGGGGGCAUCUGAUAUUGAAUCUCGCUUGGAGGAGCUUCUGAUUGAUGGUAUUCUGUACGCCUUUCAAGAGCAGACAAGUGAUGAUGCCAAUGUCAUGCUUAAUGGUUUUGGUGCUGUGGUCAAUGCCCUUGGCCAAAGGGUCAAACCUUAUCUCCCCCAGAUAUGUGGUACAAUUAAGUGGCGUUUGAAUAACAAGAGUGCAAAAGUAAGACAGCAGGCUGCUGACCUUAUCUCCCGAAUUGCAGUGGUUAUGAAACAGUGUGGAGAGGAGCAGCUUAUGGGACACUUGGGUGUGGUUUUGUACGAGUAUCUAGGAGAGGAGUAUCCAGAAGUGCUGGGUUCAAUCUUGGGAGCACUGAAAGCAAUUGUUAACGUCAUUGGUAUGACCAAGAUGACUCCACCAAUCAAAGAUCUGCUACCUAGGUUGACUCCUAUUUUAAAGAACAGGCAUGAGAAAGUACAGGAGAACUGCAUUGAUCUUGUGGGACGUAUUGCAGAUCGUGGAGCAGAAUUUGUUCCUGCAAGAGAGUGGAUGAGGAUAUGCUUUGAGCUUCUGGAGAUGCUCAAGGCUCACAAGAAAGGAAUUCGAAGAGCCACUGUCAACACCUUUGGGUACAUCGCCAAAGCUAUUGGACCUCAGGAUGUCUUGGCUACUCUUCUUAACAACCUUAAGGUGCAAGAACGUCAGAAUCGUGUUUGUACAACCGUGGCUAUUGCAAUCGUUGCUGAGACUUGCUCACCUUUCACCGUUUUGCCAGCUCUUAUGAAUGAAUACCGUGUUCCUGAGCUUAACGUGCAGAAUGGUGUCCUCAAAUCUCUGUCUUUCCUCUUUGAAUAUAUUGGUGAAAUGGGAAAGGAUUAUAUCUAUGCCGUGACUCCUCUCCUUGAAGAUGCUCUUAUGGACAGGGACCUGGUUCAUCGUCAGACUGCAGCUUCUGCCGUGAAACAUAUGGCUCUUGGUGUUGCAGGUCUAGGCUGUGAAGAUGCUUUGGUGCACCUUAUGAAUUACGUGUGGCCCAAUAUCUUCGAGACUUCACCUCACGUUAUUAACGCUGUUACAGAAGCCAUUGAGGGAAUGAGAGUUGCAUUGGGUGCCGCUGCAAUACUGAACUACUGUCUGCAGGGUUUGUUCCACCCAGCAAGGAAAGUAAGGGAAGUCUACUGGAAGAUAUAUAAUUCUCUGUAUAUUGGAGCUCAGGAUGCUCUUGUUGCUGCUUAUCCGACUUUGGAAAAUGAAGGAGAAAACAUUUAUAGUAGACCCGAGUUGUUGAUGUUUGUGUAAAGUUAGAUGAUGCAUUUCAGAUUUUGCAGAUCUCUCGUUCCACCCUUUGAAACUGUUUCUUAACUAAACUGUUGUAGUGACCUAUUCUGAGUAAUUGUUUAGAUUUGUGUUCAAUACUUCUGUUGCUUUUGUUAAGUUUUGCUGUUAUUGCUGAAUUUUCACUUUUUUUUAAGCAGAAGUCUGAUUUCCGUAAACAAGCGUUGUUGUUAGACACUAUUCUCCUGAAUGUGCUUCAAACAGGAUUCCAACCUGAAAGGAGAAUGACUGUAUGAGGCUGGUAGUCUUCACUAAAAUCCCUAGUUUGUCCCAAGAGAAUUAAUGAUUUUAUGGGGUUUUAUAAUUAAGCACUAGAUUUUUGAGUUAAUUUAUGGGGUUUUAUAAGUAUGUGUGUUGAUGUCCGUUUUGUAAGUGAUUGUUUCUGAUUGGCCUUAGCAGCCUACAUUAUUCUAAGCAGGUUGUUUCAUUUAGUACCAUGAAUAACAACUAAGCUGAUUUGGUUGGCCACUUGGCCUAUUCAUCUUGGCUGUUCUAUUCUCAUGUUAAAUGGAACUGAUCUUUCCAGGUGCUUUUUUUGGACUGUUGUGCUGUUGCUGCUCUGCUUUAUCAACUGCUUGAUGUUCUCCUAAUACUGUUCAAGGUUUGAUCUGUCUGGAAUGUGUAGCAAUGAAAAAAUAUGAAAGAGGAAGUAGAAGAGAAAAGGAGGGUCAGGCAUGCAUUCGAGCGUUUUUUUUUUUGUUUUUUUUUUAAAAAGCCUAUAAACUUUGAUAUACUUUAUUUUGUGAUUAAUUGAAAAAGAUAUAUUUUAUGAUCUGCUGAGUCUGUAUGUUGUAAUAGAUGGUGGCUAAGCUGCAUGCCAUAUUGCAUCCAUUUCUCCUUUGCAGAUAUUAAAGGCCCUGGAAAAAAAAACUGAGAGAUUAUAUUGUAUGCUACUAUGACUGAGCAUCAAAAGAAUUUUCAGGGCCACCUCAUCAAUCGAACUUCGGAGAAUCAUUUAGCGAUGAAUGUAAGCUUAGGUGAAGGUAUUUGGGCAUUGGCUGGCAUUUGGACUUCCAGUGAGAGUUCGAUGAGGAAUCCCCUCCAGAUUUCUUCACAGCAGGUUGAAGUUGUGGGAGUCUCAUUAGACGAGGCAAGAGGAAAAACAGUACCAGCCAUGGAUCAGUGGGUUACAGUAUGGGAUCAGGAGUUCGAGACCCCCCUAACUGUACCCAAGUUAGCAAUGUUAGUGAUCGAGGUCAAAGAAUUUAAGCGAGUACAUGUAAAAUGUGGAAUUUGUGAUUAGAAAAAACUCAUUACAAUUAUGAAUAAAAUUGUCUAAUUUUAAUCUA